rnacentral:rRNA from 1 species
UAACGGCCCACCAAGGCUACGAUGUUUAGGGGAUCUGAGAGGAUGGCCCCCCACACUGGUACUGAGACACGGACCAGACUCCUACGGGAGGCAGCAGUAAGGAAUAUUGGUCAAUGGGCGGAAGCCUGAACCAGCCAUGCCGCGUGCAGGAAGACGGCCCUACGGGUUGUAAACUGCUUUUAUACGGGAAUAAACCUACUUACGUGUAAGUAGCUGAAUGUACUGUAAGAAUAAGGAUCGGCUAACUCCGUGCCAGCAGCCGCGGUAAUACGGAGGAUCCAAGCGUUAUCCGGAUUUAUUGGGUUUAAAGGGUGCGUAGGCGGCCUGUUAAGUCAGGGGUGAAAGACGGUAGCUUAACUAUCGCAGUGCCCUUGAUACUGAUGGGCUUGAAUGUACUUGAGGUAGGCGGAAUGUGACAAGUAGCGGUGAAAUGCAUAGAUAUGUCACAGAACACCAA